GACGAACGCUGGCGGCGUGCCUAAUACAUGCAAGUCGAACGCAUUUUCUUUCACCGUAGCUUGCUACACCGAAAGAAAAUGAGUGGCGAACGGGUGAGUAACACGUGGGUAACCUGCCCAUCAGCGGGGGAUAACACUUGGAAACAGGUGCUAAUACCGCAUAAUUCCAUUUACCGCAUGGUAGAUGGAUGAAAGGCGCUUUUGCGUCACUGAUGGAUGGACCCGCGGUGCAUUAGCUAGUUGGUGGGGUAACGGCCUACCAAGGCUGCGAUGCAUAGCCGACCUGAGAGGGUGAUCGGCCACACUGGGACUGAGACACGGCCCAGACUCCUACGGGAGGCAGCAGUAGGGAAUCUUCGGCAAUGGACGCAAGUCUGACCGAGCAACGCCGCGUGAGUGAAGAAGGUUUUCGGAUCGUAAAACUCUGUUGUUAGAGAAGAACAAGGAUGAGAGUGGAAAGUUCAUCCCUUGACGGUAGCUAAACAGAAAGCCACGGCUAACUACGUG
rnacentral:rRNA from 1 species